GACGAACGCUGGCGGCGUGCUUAACUCAUGCAAGUCGAACGGAAAGGCCCUGCUUUUGUGGGGUGCUCGAGUGGCGAACGGGUGAGUAACACGUGAGUAACCUGCCCUUGACUUUGGGAUAACUUCAGGAAACUGGGGCUAAUACCGGAUAGGAGCUCCUGCUGCAUGGUGGGGGUUGGAAAGUUUCGGCGGUUGGGGAUGGACUCGCGGCUUAUCAGCUUGUUGGUGGGGUAGUGGCUUACCAAGGCUUUGACGGGUAGCCGGCCUGAGAGGGUGACCGGCCACAUUGGGACUGAGAUACGGCCCAGACUCCUACGGGAGGCAGCAGUGGGGAAUAUUGCACAAUGGGCGGAAGCCUGAUGCAGCAGCGCCGCGUGCGGGAUGACGGCCUUCGGGUUGUAAACCGCUUUCGCCUGUGACGAAGCGUGAGUGACGGUAAUGGGUAAAGAAGCACCGGCUAACUACGUG
rnacentral:rRNA from 1 species